CGUAGGGUGCGAGCGUUGUCCGGAAUUAUUGGGCGUAAAGAGCUCGUAGGCGGUGUGUCGCGUCGGCCGUGAAAACCUGCAGCUUAACUGUGGGCUUGCGGUCGAUACGGGCAUCACUGGAGUUCGGCAGGGGAGACUGGAAUUCCUGGUGUAGCGGUGAAAUGCGCAGAUAUCGGGAGGAACAUCAGUGGCGAAGGCGGCCCUCUGGUCCAGUACUGGACGCUCAAGUGCGAAAGCGUGGGGAGCAACAGG
rnacentral:rRNA from 1 species